GGAUACAGUAAGCAAAGAGGUCAAGAUUACUACUGUACCGUACAUGUAUAACCACUUAUAGGUCAUAUAUACUUCCAUUGGUCAGGAUGCAGUGCAGUAACACCCCCCAACCCUCAGCUUCUCCCCCACCAGGUGGGUUGUGGAGCUGCUGAUUGAAGUGAACUUCACCUGUUUUCGGUAAAAGAGGUAGAACAUCAAUAGACUGAGAAGCAAUGGCCUGGUCCUGCCUGAGGCAACUGGCAUAGAGCUCCCUCCUCUCAAGCAGCAGAGUGGUGCACCCUUAAUACCCUGCGUUAGCCCCAUCUGCCUCUCUGUGAAGAUCAGCUCACGCUCGAGCCAGUGCCUCCAGCCUGCGGCUACGUGCGAAGGGCUGAGUCUCAUGACUCCAGAAGCAGAAAUGGACACAAAGAGAACUCAAGACUGUCUGGGUGACCUUGAAGACAAACUGAAAGGUAUCAUUUGUACAGGUGAUGGGAAAACAAGAGAAAACAGGAUAGGAGAAAGGAAAUGUCAAAAUACCAUCCUCAGGUUCCUUCCCAUACUCUACAGUGAGUUAAUACUCGGUGUCUCCUGUUUUCUGGGAUAGAUUCCAAGCUCAACUUGACCUAGUACAUGAU